AGAGAAAACAGUGGCAAACUCUGAAGUUCCAUGCUAAUGAGUUCUCGUGGGACCUGAAAUUGUGCUUCUGUGAUCACCCUCAGAAAAGUCGAACACUGAAACAUAAGGUGGUGCUUAAUGUUUUCGAAAGCCAGCAGAGAGGAGAUUGUGAAAGACUUAGAGCUGUCCAGCUACUUCCUUUAACAAAGGUGCAGAUUUGGGGGCACCCGCCUGGCUCAGUCGCUGGAGCAUGUGACUCUUGAUCUUGGGGUUGUGAGUUCGAGCCCCACGUUGGUGUAGCGGUUACUUAAAAACUAACUCUUUAAAGAAACAAAAAACAAAUGUGUGGAUUUGUUGCCGCCUUUCACUUUCAAGCUCCUGUAUGUUGUUUUUCUGGGAAGAUCGAAGCAUGCAGGUUUCUGAGGAUGCUCCUUAGAGCAAGAAAGCCAAAUCCGGCUUCGUUCUAGUUUGAGUUCAGCAUCAGCCAGAGUGAGGUAACUCUCGAAUGCCGGGACCAGACAGCUCCCAAGGAGCAGCGAGUCUUGCUAAGCUGGCUACCUGGUGGGAGCGACACUGGAGCCAGGGACAUCGGGAUGCUGAGCAGCAGUGGUCCCAUCCUGUGCCCCAACUUCAGAACGAGGAAAUAUUGGAAAAGAACCUUUGCAUAUUCAACUGCACUCCAUCUACAUGACAAUGUCCCAUUUGCUUUUCUCACAAUUACUUGGUCUAAAGGAAAUUCUGUAAGCCAUUUCCUCGGAAUUAAAUUUAAAAAAAGAAAAUUAAAUAAAAAAAGACUUGGUAGCCUAAAAGGAAGGGUGGCAUGAUAUGAAGGAAAUGGGCCUUGAAUUUUAAUGAAACCGCAUUGAAAUUCCAACUUGGCACUUUAAAAUUUGGGAUUCUAAGGGAGCCUGGAUGACUCAGUUGGCUAAGCAUCCCACCUACUCUUGAUUUCAGUCAGUUCUUGAUCUCAGGGUUCACGAGUUUGAGCCCUGCGCCAUCAGUGUGGAGCUUGCUUGGGAUUCUUGGUCUCUCUCCUUCUCUGCCCUACCCAUGCUCACUCUGUAUAUACAUAUAUAUAUAUAUAUAUAUAUAUAUAUAUAUAUAUAUAUAUAUAUAUAUAUAUAUAUAUAUAUAUAUAUAUAUAUAUAUAUAUAUAUAU
rnacentral:lncRNA from 1 species